GGUCAAGUGUCAAGACACCCAACAGUGGUCAUUGAAAAGGCAGAUUUAAAGCAGGUGUGCCAUAUUGUCAAAAAUAUCUGAAAGUUUUAAUCUUUUUCACCCAUUGAAUGUCCAUGGAUUUUAAUAUGUACAGGUCUUAUACAUGUAUCACCUGAGUGUAAGAUUUAGUACUAGACAAAGUCAAUAAAGCUGAUAGUGUAACAACUUAAACAAGUCAACACAAUAAAAUAUAUUAUGACAGGAUCAAAGGGCCA
rnacentral:lncRNA from 1 species